rnacentral:tRNA from 1 species
GCGAGGGUGGUCGACAGCCAUCGAUCUUCCAAACAGACGGUGCGAGUUCGAUUCUCGUCGCCCCGCUCCA